GACGAACGCUGGCGGCGUGCUUAACACAUGCAAGUCGAACGGAAAGGCCCUGCUUGCAGGGUACUCGAGUGGCGAACGGGUGAGUAACACGUGGGUGAUCUGCCCUGCACUUCGGGAUAAGCCUGGGCAACUGGGUCUAAUACCGGAUAGGAGCCAUUUUUAGUGUGAUGGUUGGAAAGUUUUUUCGGUGUAGGAUGAGCUCGCGGCCUAUCAGCUUGUUGGUGGGGUAAUGGCCUACCAAGGCGGCGACGGGUAGCCGGCCUGAGAGGGUGGACGGCCACAUUGGGGCUGAGAUACGGCCCAGACUCCUACGGGAGGCAGCAGUGGGGAAUAUUGCACAAUGGGCGCAAGCCUGAUGCAGCGACGCCGCGUGGGGGAUGACGGCCUUCGGGUUGUAAACUCCUUUCGCUAGGGACGAAGCUUUUUGUGACGGUACCUAGAUAAGAAGCACCGGCUAACUACGUG
rnacentral:rRNA from 1 species